GAGGCCUCAGGUCAGGCGGGGCUACCCGCUGAGUU
rnacentral:rRNA from 1 species